UACGAAGGGUGCAAGCGUUACUCGGAAUCACUGGGCGUAAAGCGUGCGUAGGCGGUUUCUUAAGUCUGUCGUGAAAUCCCUCGGCUUAACCGGGGAACUGCGUCUGAUACUGGAUGGCUUGAGAUUGGGAGAGGGAUGCGGAAUUCCAGGUGUAGCGGUGAAAUGCGUAGAUAUCUGGAGGAACACCGGUGGCGAAGGCGGCAUCCUGGACCAACACUGACGCUGAGGAGCGAAAGCCAGGGGAGCAAACGAG
rnacentral:rRNA from 1 species